CAGACGCACGGAUUAACUUACUGGCCUGCCCCUGCAACCAUGGGCAGCUCAGUAUACGCCCGUGCGAUAGCCAACCGCUCGGCCGUGGCGCGUUCACUUCUAGGCGAGGCCCAACCCUUUCCUAGAGCUCCGCGCGUGGGCCGCACAUCC
rnacentral:snoRNA from 1 species